rnacentral:tRNA from 1 species
AUUUAAAUAAUUUAUAAAAAAUAUUGAUUUGUGGUAUCAAAAAUAUGAUUAAUUAUCAUUUUAAAUU